AGGUGGGCAGUUUGACUGGGGCGGUCGCCUCCUAAAGAGUAACGGAGGCGCCCAAAGGUAUCCUCAGCAUGGUUGGAAAUCAUGCAAAGAGUGUAAAGGCAUAAGGAUGCUUGACUGCGAGACCUACAAGUCGAGCAGGGACGAAAGUCGGGCUUAGUGAUCCGGUGUUUCCGAAUGGAAGGGCCAUCGCUCAACGGAUAAAAGCUACCCUGGGGAUAACAGGCUUAUCUCCCCCAAGAGUCCACAUCGACGGGGAGGUUUGGCACCUCGAUGUCGGCUCGUCGCAUCCUGGGGCUGUAUUAGGUCCCAAGGGUUGGGCUGUUCGCCCAUUAAAGCGGUACGCGAGCUGGGUUCAGAACGUCGCGAGACAGUUCGGUCCCUAUCCGUGGCGGGCGCAGGGAUUUUGAGGGGGGCUGACCCUAGUACGAGAGGACCGGGUUGGACGGACCGCUGGUGUACCAGUUGUGCCGCCAGGCGCAGACGCUGGGUAGCUACGUCCGGGAGCGAUAAACGCUGAAAGCAUAUAAGCGUGAAGCGCGCCCCAAGAUGAGAACCUCCACUGCUUUAGCAGGUAAGGUCCCCGGUAGACGACCGGGUAGAUAGGCGGGAGGUGGAAGCGUGGCGACAUGUGGAGCUGACCCGUACUAAGUGACCGAGGGCUUUAGCAA
rnacentral:rRNA from 1 species